rnacentral:ncRNA from 1 species
CUGAUCAAGCCGCCUGGGUCGACGUUGGUGCAACGAGCCCUGUUCCUAUGGCCGAUGUAAUGCCCAUAGGAAGGUGGAUCACGGUCAG